UGAGGAAUAUUGGUCAAUGGGCGAGAGCCUGAACCAGCCAAGUAGCGUGCAGGAUGACGGCCCUAUGGGUUGUAAACUGCUUUUAUGCGGGGAUAAAGUGUGCGACGUGUCGUGCAUUGCAGGUACCGCAUGAAUAAGGACCGGCUAAUUCCGUUCCAGCAGCCGCGGUAAUACGGAAGGGCCGGGCGUUAUCCGGAUUUAUUGGGUUUAAAGGGAGCGUAGGCCGCCAGAUAAGCGUGUUGUGAAAUGUACCGGCUCAACCGGUGAAUUGCAGCGCGAACUGUUUGGCUUGAGUGCACGGUAAGCAGGCGGAAUUCAUUGUGUAGCGGUGAAAUGCUUAGAUAUCAUGAAGAACUCCGAUUGCGAAGGCAGCUUGCUGCAGUGCGACUGACGCUGAUGCUCGAAGGUGCGGGUAUCAAACAGG
rnacentral:rRNA from 1 species